GUCAUUAAUGCAGAGUUAUUUUCUUCCACAGCUAUAAGUAUGACCAAAAGGAGGAUUAUGAAACACAAAAUACGGAUUGGUAAAAAGACUGUCUAAAGAUAGAAUAAUACCAGACAAACAUGUGUCAUAGGAAAAAAAAAAAUCAAUCACUAGAUUUGCAUUUGGACUUGAGUUAUUCAUUUUUCCAUCCAUUUAACAAAUAUUUAUUCAGGAUUUACUAUGUGCUAGAACUUCAGCUAGGUGCUUGAAUAUAAUGAUGAACAAAACUGACAUGAUCUUGUCCUCACAGGGCUUAGAAUUAGGGAGAAAAUGGACAAUAAAAAGUAAAUAUGUUUUUAGCUCCAACACGUAAUGAGCUUGGAAGACUUCACUCCCAUCCUUACAACAAGAAAAAGCGAAACAACCUGAACAUCCAUGACUUUUCUUGGACUCAUCAGAGAGCAGAGGUCACAGGGCUCAGUGUCAUGCCGAAACCUGGAGAGAUGGGUGAAUCUGGAGAGCUGCUGUUGAAACCUGCUUACCAAAUGCGGAAGUUAAACGGGCAGCAACAUUUAAAUGGUGAUUUUGAUAACCUUAACACUUAUAAAUCUUCAAGAAAUCAUCUAGGAGGCAAUAAACCUCAGCUUUCUGGUCUGUUUCUAAGUAAUUUUGACAUUGAAACAUACCAUACAUACAGAAGAAAAAGGCUACAACUAAUCUGCUUACUACAAAGUGAACACCAGUGAGGAGACCACCCAGAAAGAGAACAUUGCCAACACCCCAGGAGCUCCUCAGCCCCCUCCCAGGGACUGUUCCACCUUCAAAGCAACUGAAGAUGUAGACCUCACUCUCUCCUGAGACCGCCGUGAAUGGAGGGAACGAACAAUUGGAUAGCCUCUAGCACGUGGAGAGAGAAAUGCUGCAGCUUUUCACCAUAAAAUUGAAUUUUGUGAAGCCAUCACUAAACAGUUACAGAUUGUAGAGAAAGUAGAGUGUAGCAGAUUCUGCGGCCUCCCUCCAAAUGCACCGAAUAAAAUCAGCGGGUCUAGGUUGUUGGUUGGAAUGCUGUCCUCUCAGUCUGGUCUGUGGGAUUUCAGAGGAACGGCUGGAGAGCAGAGUGAAUACCACUGAAUACAUUUGCUUUUAGCAUCUUAACAGCUACAUUUCCCUGUGUGGUUUCAAAAUUCCGUUUUUAUCAGAU